UUGUUGUUGUUGUUGUUGUUGUAGAAGUAUUUCAUUAUUUAUCACACACUUCUUUUCAACAGUGGCUAAGAAGAGAAAGAGGAAAGUCACACAAAGAAGUAGGUGCAGAAUUAGGUACUGAAAAUAUAUGUUCAGGGCAGACCAUUGGAAAGAGGCUCCAUACUUUGCAAUACCAUGGGAGAACACAAUGUACCUCUGUGUACUCUGCACGCACAGACAUCUUCAGCUAGAAAUAAAUUACUCUUGAAAUGAGUAAUCCCACUUGGAGAGGAGUCAGUUGUGGAUCCCCAGGAAGCCCACUAACCCCAGUGAUCUUCACCUGCUUUGAUGAUAAUCUGAAAUAGUUGAGGGUGACGUGAAAAUAGCUGUUUUCUGCUAGAGAGCUGCAGAAACACACAGUUUUCAGUGUACUCCUGGAUUCCUCUAUGGGACCUACUGCAGGACUGUGGCAAGUGCCCUACCAGAGAACCAAGUGUAUCCCUCGUAAUAAAGUUCUUCAGAUACCAACUCCUGUGAUGGUCUUGAAUUCAGUCAUCAGAUUUCAACAAGCAGCGAUGUAGGAACAAUUAAAAUAUUGCAACAAAAUAAAUGAUCCAGGAAAUCUUUUAUGUACUGUUAU
rnacentral:lncRNA from 1 species